CCUACGGGGGGCUGCAGUAAGGAAUAUUGGUCAAUGGACGAAAGUCUGAACCAGCCAUCCCGCGUGCAGGAUGAAAGCCCUAUGGGUUGUAAACUGCUUUUAGCAGAGAAGAAACGCUUUCAUUAAUGAGAGUCUGACGGUAUCUGCAGAAUAAGCACCGGCUAACUCCGUGCCAGCAGCCGCGGUAAUACGGAGGGUGCGAGCGUUAUCCGGUUUAACUGGGUUGUAAGGGUGCGUAGACGGCAUUGUAGAAAUCUUGGCGCUUAACGUUAAAAUUGCCAAUGAUACUGGUACUCUUGAAUGGGGUUGAGGUUAGCGGAAUGUGACAUGUAGCGGUGAAAUGCAUAGAUAUGUCAUGGAACACCAAUUGCGAAGGCAGCUAACUGGGCCUUGAUUGACGCUGAGGCACGAAAGCGUGGGUAGCGAACAGGAUUAGAUACCCCGGUAGUC
rnacentral:rRNA from 1 species